rnacentral:lncRNA from 1 species
CAAAUUAUUAACAUUUUCUAGAAAUUCAUUCAAUAUUUUGAUUGUUCAUUAGAAAAAGUAAUUUCUCAAAAUCUACCUAAACAGAAAAAUCAACAUAGCUAACUAUAUCAUCUACAUAUUGCAACACAAAAUCCAUAAAAAAAAAUAUAGAAACUCCAUAAACCAAUAAAACAAAUAUUGACUUAGAAUUGAAAAACUACAAAACUAAAAACUAAAAUUAUAGAUCUGGCAGAGGACCAAAAAUGCUAUUCGAUGGCAUCACUGAGGAGCGAUCUGGAAGUGCAUCAUCCGCUAUUAGGGGCGCGAUCCGAUGGCAUCUCGUGAAUAUCCAUGGUGACUGCAUUGCGUCGAGCGAAGUCUAGAUAUAGUUAUGUCUAGAAGAAAAUAAGAAGAAGAAGAAAUGAAAAAGGUCGCAUCUCAUAGAAGUUCAGGACGGCUGCGGUGGCGUCGAGUGAGGCGUAGGUGGCUAUAAGAAGAAAAAGAAAAAAAACAAAGAAAUCAAUUGGGGACAAGGAGAGUUCCUAAUAAACAGCUGUUAAAAAA